GCGCCCAGCUCGCGCGCCUCGCUCGCCCACUCGCCAGAGCCCGGCCAACUGCUCUCAGCCCAGCCCCGGCAGGGCAGGCUCGCUUUUCAUCAACCUCAUUUCAGAGUCGCCCCGUUCAUUGAUACUCAUCAUCCAACCCCAACAGACAUCCCAUCCCCUGCUCGGCCUCCCCCCUAUCUGGAGAACCCGGGACAGAUGACAAGUUAUUCCUUUGAGAUCCUUAAAGACCUAAAGAGCAAGGAUAUCAACAGCACAUGCGCAUAUGUGAUCUCCAUCCACCCUCAAUGCUCCUCUGAUCACUCAGAGAUGGGGGCUUUCCGGAGAGGGCAGCCGCCUUCAUGGAGAAACGGCAUAGACUCCUGGCAGAAGAAAUACGUCAUGAUCGGUCGGGUCAGAUGGGAAGUCGGUCUAGAUACCCACAGGGGGCCUUGACUUGUACAGCCUCUGCUUCUUGAUUUCAGCUAUUCCAACAGUGUCCUCUUCCAUCUGAGAUGGCUCUGCUUGGAGGAAAGUCCCCUGGGUUCCACACGGAUGAAGAGCUCUCUCUGCUGCUGAGGUCCCACACCUCACUUCAGCCCUGCAAGACUGAGGUGCAGCUUUUCUCUGGUGUGGGGACCACAAGAUGAACAAACCUUUCAAGGACUCCCAUGAGCUUGGGGUUCAGCGGGAGCCUUUGGAGAUGGAAGAUGAUUCUCUAGUAAAAAGACUUUGUCGAGCUUGGUUUUCCCACCAUGACCUGUUUGUUGUUCCAAAGAAAACCUCACUCCUUCCAGUAUUUUUCAAGCAAGUUUUAAGGCUUUUGUUUGUUUGUUUCAAGACAAGGUUUCUCUGUAUAGUUCUGGCUGUCCUGGAACUCACCCUGUAGACCAGGCUGGCCUCUAACUCACAGAGAUUCCCCUGCUUCUGCCUCCCAAGUGCUGGGAUUAAAGGAUUAGUGGGUGACACCACUGCCUGGCUCAAGCAAGCCUUUCAAAGGCCAAAAAUGUUGCUGUCCCUCGAGCUCUGGAAGAAGGAGGGGCAGGGGGACACAAGAAGGAGGAGGAAGGGGAAAGGAAGAAGGGAGGAAGAGGAAGAAGAGAGGAGGAAGAAGCUACUCCUCUUUUCCAGCUUUAACGAGAGGGAAAAGUCAGCACAGUAAUGUAACUACCCCGAGUAGAACAAACCCCUUCUUCCAGACACGACACAUCCCUUCCCAUCCCGAAGUUAUCUGGCUUCAGCUUCUACCCGAUCAGAGCAUCUCACCUCUCUAGACAUAGAUGGACCAAGACUAGGCAGGUGUUCUGCCAAUCAGAGUCGGUCUGGACCAAGACUAGGCACCAAUCAGAGUCGGUCUGGGUUCCUUUUAUUUGCUUUUGUUGGUUUGUGUUUUGUUUUGCUUUUCGUGGAUUAGCAAUGUGAAUGAACUGCUAGAGAGUCUUCAAAUUCUGUCCCGGUACCUGAGAACCCACACUUGCGGAGGUCCCCCCCCCAAAAAAGCCUGAGGACGAUGCCAAACCCAACAAUGGCAGAAAUGGGGAACCAGUCUGUAUGAGCCCCAAAUCCAACCAGGGCUAAAGCUAACGGUCACCUUGCAUGCCGGAAAAAUCCCCUCUCAUUGACCUCAGUUUGCCUUGGGUCUCCUGUCAUGCGUGGCUCCUGGUGUGUUUAACUGGGACAAGGGGCAGAGAGCAAAUGUGGCCCACCACGUCCUUCCCACUGAAGGAGCAUCCACAAGCCUUGAAACCUACAGGUGUCCCUUGCUUUAAACUUCAUGUCAGGCCCAAGAAUGAUGUCUGGGCUUUUGCAGGUUGGCUCUGGUUUCCGGAACUGAGAGAGAUGUUUGCUAGAGGCACCUCAGAAACAAUGCGUCUUGUAAAACAGCCAUGCUCCUAAAUAAACAACAAAUAAGAAAUCA